AGAGUUUGAUCCUGGCUCAGAACUAACGCUGGCGGCGUGCCUAACACAUGCAAGUCGAACGAGAAAAUCCCUUCGGGGAUUAGUAAAGUGGCGAACGGGUGAGUAACACGUGAGCAACUUACCCUUGAAAUCAGGAUAACUUCGCGAAAGCGGGGCUAAUACUGAAUAAUAUCUUCGGUUCACAAGAACUGAAGAUCAAAGGUGACCUCUAAAUUAUGUUGCCGUUCAAGGAUGGGCUCGCGGCCCAUUAGCUUGUUGGUAGGGUAACGGCCUACCAAGGCUACGAUGGGUAACCGGCCUGAGAGGGUGAACGGUCACACUGGAACUGAGACACGGUCCAGACUCCUACGGGAGGCAGCAGUGGGGAAUAUUGCGCAAUGGGGGAAACCCUGACGCAGCGACGCCGCGUGAGCGAUGAAGGUCUUCGGAUUGUAAAGCUCUGUCAGAUGGGAAGAAACGUUUGGAUCUCAAUAGGGUUCAUACUUGACGGUACCAUCAGAGGAAGCCCCGGCUAACUCCGUGCCAGCCGCGGUAAUACGGAGGGGGCAAGCGUUGUUCGGAAUUACUGGGCGUAAAGGGCACGUAGGCGGCCUGAAAAGUCAGGCGUGAAAUCCCAUGGCUUAACUAUGGAAUUGCGUUUGAUACUAUCGGGCUUGAGUACAGGAGAGGAGAGUGGAAUUCCUAGUGUAGCGGUGAAAUGCGCAGAUAUUAGGAGGAACACCAGUGGCGAAGGCGACUCUCUGGCCUGAUACUGACGCUGAGGUGCGAAAGCGUGGGGAGCGAACGGGAUUAGAUACCCCGGUAGUCCACGCUGUAAACGAUGGGUACUAGGUGUAGGGGGUAAUGAAACUUUCUGUGCCGAAGCUAACGCAUUAAGUACCCCGCCUGGGGAGUACGAUCGCAAGAUUGAAACUCAAAGGAAUUGACGGGGGCCCGCACAAGCGGUGGAGCAUGUGGUUUAAUUCGACGCAACGCGAAGAACCUUACCAGGGUUUGACAUGUAUCUGCUAUUCUGUGAAAGCAGAAGUUCCUUCGGGACGGAUACACAGGUGCUGCAUGGCUGUCGUCAGCUCGUGUCGUGAGAUGUUGGGUUAAGUCCCGCAACGAGCGCAACCCUCACCCUUAGUUACCAGCGGAUAAUGCCGGGGACUCUAAGGGAACUGCCUCGGUAACGGGGAGGAAGGUGGGGAUGACGUCAAGUCCUCAUGGCCUUUAUGCCCUGGGCUACACACGUGCUACAAUGGGUGGUACAAAGGGAAGCAAUACCGUGAGGUGGAGCGAAUCUCAGAAAACCAUCCCCAGUUCGGAUUGAAGUCUGCAACUCGACUUCAUGAAAUCGGAAUCGCUAGUAAUCGUGGAUCAGCACGCCAUGGUGAAUACGUUCCCGGGCCUUGUACACACCGCCCGUCACACCACGAAAGUCAGUUGUACUAGAAGUGGCUAAGCUAACCCUCACGGGAGGCAGGUCACUAAGGUAUGGUUGGCGAUUGGGGUGAAGUCGUAACAAGGUA
rnacentral:rRNA from 1 species